GACGAACGCUGGCGGCGUGCUUAACACAUGCAAGUCGAACGGGUCUGCCCUGUUUUUUGCGGGGUGGGUCAGUGGCGACCGGGUGAGUAGCACGUGAGUAACCUGCCCCUCACUUCUGGAUAACCGCUUGAAAGGGUGGCUAAUACGGGGUGUUCUGGCUGUGCCGCAUGGUGUGGCUGGGAAAGAUUCACUUUUGUGGUGUUUUGGUGGGGGAUGGGCUCGCGGCCUAUCAGCUUGUUGGUGGGGUGAUGGCCUGCCAAGGCUUUGACGGGUAGCCGGCCUGAGAGGGUGGGCGGUCACACUGGGACUGAGAUACGGCCCAGACUCCUGCGGGAGGCAGCAGUGGGGGGUAUUGCACAAUGGGCGGAAGCCUGAUGCAGCGACGUCGCGUGAGGGAUGGAGGCCUUCGGGUUGUGAACCUCUUUCGCCGGUGAAGAAGGUCCUGCUCUUUGUGGUGGGGUUGACGGUAGCCGGGUUAUGAAGCGCCGGCUAACUACGUG
rnacentral:rRNA from 1 species